GCAGCCUUCCUUUCUCAUUUUCGUUCGUCUCCACUUCUUAUCACAUAAAAAGAUCUUAUCGCUCCCACCACCAUCCCCAUCGCUCCGACCAACACCACAACCGACACCACUACAACCAGCACCGCCACCUCCAUCAUGUCCACCACUAUUAUCAACAGAUAUAUUAUGAUUUGUGUUUGAUUUGUGUUCUAUCAUGUUUUGCUUCCUUUUCUUCUUCAACGAAAUCCAUCGAUAACAAUAGUUCAUGAAGAUUUGUUCUAAAUCGAUGGAUAAAAAUCGAUAAAAAUCAUCAAUAACAACUGAAAACAAAGGUUUGGAACAUCAAUAGAGAAAUGAAGUCAGUGAUUGAGUUGAAACAUAAUGAAAUAGCUAGAUGAGAGUCUGUUGAAGUUGAGAAGAAUGGGUUUUGUUUGGAUUUGAUUUUGAACAAAGAAAGAAGAUGAUUGUUGUUGUUAAUGGAAAUUAGGGUUUGAUUGUGGCUAAGUUCAAUGAAGAAUUAGGGCUUGUAAUCAUUCAAUUCGGGGUUUUUAUUGAAGAAGAUGGGUAUUGGCUGCUGUUGUUAUAUGGAAGAGAAUCGGGAUGAAGUUCAUUGGAGCUGAGAAGAUAGAGAAGAAGAGAGGAUGUUCUAUGCUGGCGAUGCUAUGUUGCAUUGGUUAAGAUAUUGCAGUUCAAGCUGGUUGUGUGGAUGUAAUGGAAGGAGAUAGUAUUGCAGAAAUGAUUUUGCAGUUGGUUGAUGUGUUGAUGCUGUUAUUGCAGUGUCAUUGCAAGUGGUUGGUGGACAGAACUGAUAUGGAGAAUGAGAGAACAAGAAGUGAUUGUUGAUAUUUUGUAGCAGUAUGAUUUAGGUACUGGAGAGGGUGGUGGUGGUUGUGAUCUGCAGAAGAAGCAGGUAUUGGAUAUGAUGGAGGUGAUUAGUAGUAGUAUGGAUUAGAAGGAAGUAAAUUUGUUUUCCUUUUUCGUUUAUGGUAAAUUUAUUUUGAUUGCAAUUAUGUUUAGAUAGAAGGAAGUAAGGAAGGGGGAGAAUAGCUUUUCCUAUUCAAGAAUCCAUUUGUCAGGUCUUACUUGAUUUGUGUGCAUAUGUUGAAUCUAAAGAUAUUAAACCAGCAUUUUUCACAGGUUAUUAUGCACCUUGUUCAUAUCCGCAAGUCUCAAAUCUUUUAACACUUCUUCCUGAAUCGUUGCCACCUGAAUCUGGCGAAGAUGCUUCAGUAGGAGGAACACUUGGUCGUAGUAAUAGAGACAGAUGUCCUGCGCCUGGAAUACUUUAUAACACUGAUACUCUUGAGAGCUACCAUGACAUUGAUAAACAGAGCUUUUUGAAGGAGGAAGCGAAGAAGUCUUUUCAAGGAAAUAAGCUCUUAUGGAGAAAGUUGCUCGAAAAGUGGUUUUUGCACCCCGGAGGACGCGUGUUAUUCGGACUCUCACUGUUGGUUAAGGGGCACCUCAAUUACUAAGGGGCACCUCAAUUACUAAGGGGCAUCUUUUUUUACUAUUCAGCACCUAUUGCUAAAGGGACACCAGAACAGGAUAAGGGGGAGGUCAUCUUCUUCCUUUUGAAUUUGAAAAAUGGCGGGAAAAACUGGUUUUCAAUGGAACAGAAUUAGGGUUUCGGUUUUGGAGGUGUUUGGGUGAGAUUAAAGCGCUGAAAUCUAAUGGGUUUGUUCCUAGAACCUAAACAGGGAUGGUAAUGUGCUCUGAAUCAGUUAAGAUGGGCCGGAUAAUCACGGAUUGAUGAAAAUAGGAAGAACAUAAAUUGGCGGGAAAACUGGUUAUUGAACUGCCGGAAUUUGAGUUUUGAUUUCGGAGCUGUUCUAGGGAGAUUCUAGGGAGAUUCAAUGGCUGAAAUUGUUUGGGUAUCUUCUUUUGGGCCUAACAGAGUUGGUAAGGCUGCUUGAACCAACCAGAAUUGGUUAGAAUUGAAUGUUUGAAGAAAGCAGGGGAUGGAGUUAAUUGCGAGAUUUUGUGAAGAUAUUGGAGGAGUUCGGUGGAGAUUUAAUCGCUGGAAUUAGUUGGGAAUAUCCUUUUUAGUCAAAACAGGAUUGGUAUGAGGCUUAGAAACAUAAAACAAGGGUUGUGUACGUGGAUUUUAUAAAACAGGGAAGUUAUAUGUUUGCCUCGUGAAAACAAAGUUUGGAGUAUGACUCGGGAUUAUUAAGCGAAGUUUGGCGUGUGUUUACCACUCAGUGAGGUGUCUACUCAAAUAUCAGACGCGUGAAAGAGAGAAAGUGGGAAGGAAAUCUCGUAGCAUAGAAAGAAAAAUGAAUAAAAUAUUUUCUAUUUACUGUCGAAUAUUUGGAGUAACUGCACAGAUAUUUGAUGCGCCGAAGUAUAAAUAGGCUGCUGGCAUUCCAAAGAAGACUAUCGAGUGAUUGGGGAGGCUACAGAGUCGAGAGAAUUGCUACUGCAGCAGAAAAACAGUGAAGAACACGAAGAACAGACAAGCAGGGACAAUCGUUUUUCUACAGUAAUAACGACUCACAGGUGUCGGUCGUACAUCAGAGGCAGACUUAUUUGCUACAGUAUCAGUGACACAUAUUGUGGGUCGUUCUGGUUUGUAACACAUAUAACUGUUACAAAUCCGGUUUUAAUUGAUUUUCUCUUUUUCUCUUCUUUGUAAACACUAUUUGAGCAAUGAAAUAUUAUUUUGAGAGUGUUUUCACCA